GAAAUGCGAUAAUUAAUGUGAAUUGCAGAAUUCAGUGAAUCAUCGAGUCUUUGAACGCACAUUGCGCCCCCUGGUAUUCCGGGGGGCAUGCCUGUCCGAGCGUCAUUGCUGCCCUCAAGCACGGCUUGUGUGUUGGGCUUCCGUCCCUGGCAACGGGGACGGGCCCAAAAGGCAGUGGCGGCACCAUGUCUGGUCCUCGAGCGUAUGGGGCUUCGUCACCCGCUCCCGUAGGUCCAGCUGGCAGCUAGCCUCGCAACCAAUCUUUUUAACCAGGUUGACCUCGGAUCAGGUAGGGAUACCCGCUGAACUUAAGC
rnacentral:misc_RNA from 1 species